rnacentral:rRNA from 1 species
UACGUAGGGUGCAAGCGUUGUCCGGAAUUAUUGGGCGUAAAGAGCUUGUAGGCGGUUUGUCGCGUCUGCUGUGAAAUUUCGGGGCUCAACCCCGAACUUGCAGUGGGUACGGGCAGACUAGAGUGUGGUAGGGGAGACUGGAAUUCCUGGUGUAGCGGUGAAAUGCGCAGAUAUCAGGAGGAACACCGAUGGCGAAGGCAGGUCUCUGGGCCACUACUGACGCUGAGGAGCGAAAGCAUGGGGAGCAAACAGG